AAAAAAGACACUUGUAGAGUAAAUAAAAGGAACGUAACUCGAGAAGAAAUAACGCAAGGCAUCGCAACGCAAAAAAAAAAAAUACACACACACAUAUGUAUAUACGUACAAGGCUGGACCAAUAGGUACAAGAAUCAAUCGUAAAGUUAUGUGACCGAUGCACAGCGAGCGCGCUAAAUUGACGAAUUAGAUCACAGAUGUACGACUUGGUUGCUGCGCCAUGCACGGGGCUCGAAAUAUUUACGCUCGUAAAACGUCCUAUGGCGACACAUGUCGCGCACGUGUUUACAAUAUCGGGAAAACGUUCGGAAAACGUUAGCUGGUGACGAACGGUGAGAGUUUCGCUAACGGCAAAAAAAAAAAAAAGGACUCGCCUCGCUGGUUGAAAUAAUAUUCCAAGAACGAAAAUCGAGCAGCCUUAAUCAGAAGAAAAUUCCCAUUACAUGACCUAACUCGGCGAGGAAUUAACCUUUUUAAAAUUUCUAAUUUUGCACAGACUCUGAAAAGGGAUUCCAUUGUAUUUAGCAUGCUGUAUUUAAUAAUUCAAUCAAAUUCGUCAAGAGUCGGAAGAGUAAUAAUGCAGUUUGAAUAGAAAUUAUUUCAUACCCUUCGCUGCAUUUCUCCAUACUCUUAAGCAAUUACAUCUAAUCCUAGGUUGUCUCUAGCAAGCUUCGAAAAGGAAAAAAGCUUGCGCAGCCAUCCAACAAUUGAAAAUUAACUUCGCAGAAGUGUACUUGAAAUUCACAA